GGUAGUUCUUCUGUCUUAGCGUCUCGGUCUGAUUGUAUUUCCAUGAAGAAAUGAUCAUAAAUGUUCUUCCUUGAGCUGCGGCACCCCGCUGUAGUCCGUAAUGGACUGGCCUGAGGUCUCUCUACAAACAAGCGUCUGCUGGAAGAGAGUAGGUGAGUUGUGUUUCGUCUCUUUGCUAAAGAAAUGAGUCAAAGUUAAAAAGAUGUUUGGUGUCUAGUACUAUGUCUGUGACCCUAUAUGUCCUGUUGAUGAAGUUAGGUGCUGUUCUGAGCAUUA